rnacentral:lncRNA from 1 species
GGAUUUGCCUUCUGUGAUGAAUAAUCUGUGUAUUUCAGGUGACAGCACAUCACCCAUAGUGGAAGACCUAGAGAAUGAUUCUCUGACAGUGGAGAAAGUGCACAGGGAGCAGAGAAGUCAUGAAGCUCGAGAAGAGCAGGACUCCAGCAGUCCAUUUCAGGCUGGAGGAGGUAAGAAACAUCUUUCUUCUGAUAGUGAAGAAGAUGGUGAAAGAGGAUCACUGCUAAUUUCAGAUGGAGCCACAGUAGUGAAAACCCAGUUAAGAAAAGAAAGGCCAUCAGAAGAGCAGAGGAUUAGCACAGACUCUAAGAGAAAGUCAGAAAUCACACAUAUAGAUGAAAAAUCACC